rnacentral:rRNA from 1 species
UACCCCGAGGAAAAGAAAUCAACCUAGAUUCCCCCAGUAGCGGCGAGCGAACGGGGAGCAGCCCGGAGUCUGAAUCAGCUUGUGUGUUAGUGG